AUAAAAAUAUGACAUUUACUAAAUAUUUGUCAAUUGAAAAAAAAUAAUAAUAAAUCCGCGUUUUGAAAGCGCGGGUCAAAAUCUAGUAUUACCUUAAGACUGCAUCACAUCAUUAAUUAUAUUACCAUAAUAAUGAUAGUGCAUAUUUUUAUUUAUUAAUUAAUCAACAUUAACUUUGUGCCAAUUAUAAAAUAAAAAUAUUAAAUAACUAGGUUUUGUAUAUGGUUAAAUAUUCGGUUUAGUUUGUUUUACUAUUUUUUUUUAAUUUAAGUUUCAAUCGAUGGAAAAUUACGUAGCCAAAAACAUAAUUCAAAGAAAUAUUUUGUGAAUAAAAUAAUAACUUAAAUUAAAAUAAUAAAAAUGUAUUAAAUUAAUUGUCACUUAAUAUUUUCACUCCAUAUAAUUAUUUUACUAAAUAAAAAAACUAUUUUUAUUUCACUUAAUUUAGCCAAACCACUUAGAAAAAAUCCUUUUUAUUAGUUUAUAAAAUAAGUUAAACAUUAACAUUAGUUAUCCAUUUAGGUACGUGUUGUUUUUUUUAGGUAUUUUUUUUAAUUAGGCUCUGUUUGAAUAUUAUAAAUUUAUGUGUGGGUUUUGAGUUGGAUCCUUUUGGGUCUUGAUGAGUUCGGUUUUGAUGUAUAGAAACCUAAAAAUAUUAAAAUAACAAAUGUAUCUGAAUAGGGUUUGGAUAUUUGUACCAAAGAUAACUAUAUUACCCGAUUCGGUCCAAGUAUUUCGAAUACAAUUAGUUAUAGUACGGCUCAUCUAAAAUAUAUAAUAUUAAUUAUGAAAAAAUAAAUAUCAUGUAUAAAAAUAUAAAAACCAAUAUCCGUGUAAGUGCGCGGAUCAAUCUUUAGUCUAUAUUAUUACAACUCAAAUACUAUUUAGAAUUAUUUGGAAAUAUGGAUAACAGUAUAAAUGAGAAUUGUUUGAAAAGAUGAGUAGCAGUAUAAAAAAUAUUAAUGUAUAAAAUGUAAGAACUAGUAUCCGCGCGGGUCAAUUUCUAGUAAAAUAUUAAGAUUCGAUCAUCACGUUGUGACGAGUGCUUAAUAUAUGUUAUAUGAAAAACCUUAUAAAAACUAUUAAGAUAAAGUCUGACUAAUCCAGUGGACUUCUUAAAUUACUCAAGUAAUACAUAAAUUUAAACAACAAAAAAUAUAUCUGAUAUAAUAUACAGAGAAAAAUUCCUUUAGGAGUCAUUCAUGCUUUUACCAAUUAUGGAGCCAUUUAAUAGUUGUCCUUGUCCUUAGGAUCUCUUAUAUAUGUUAAAGAAUUAGAUGAUGAUUCAUGCGGCAUGCCACAUGUAGGGACCAAAUUAUUUAUGUAAUAAUAUUUAAGUUGAAGAAAAUAUUAGUUUAUUUAUAUAAUUAUUUUAUAGUAAUUGGGGAACAUUCUUAUUUCAUCAUCUGUAAUUAUCAUACACAUAAGUAAAAAAUGUAUUAUUAGCAUAAAUCAAUUUUAAAUAAUUUCUUGGGUUUCUUCUUAGAUGCAGAAAUUCCUAAUAUGUACUUUUUCAUUUCAUAUUAAGUGUCGUUAUAUAUUAAAAUGUAAAUUUAUUAACUUUAUAUAUUGUAUAACUUUUUAUAUUUUCUAAUUUACUUUUUAUCGAUUGAAAUAUGAUUAAGUGUAUAAAUAAUAAUUUUUUUGUACACAAAUAUACAAAAUUAAAUAGUUUCUUAAUUUUUGUAUACAAACUAAAAUGAUAAUUAACAGAUGGAAUAUAGUUAAAAUAUUAAGAGAGAUAUAUUAAAAAACGUUACUUCUUCAAACAUGUUCUGUAACUCGGAGAAGAGUGUUGAUUAUCAAAUUGACUUCAAAAUUACUAAAAAGUUUCAAACCUAAAUGUCUGAAGUUUUUUUACCUAUUAGAUUACUGAUUUAGAAACAAAGAAAAAUUGGUACAUAUCUUUUACAAGAUUUUUUAAAGUUUUUAUAACUUUUAAACCAAUAAAUUCUUAUUAGGAAAAAUGAUUUAAGGACUUUUAUUUUAUGUUUUUCAAGACUUCAAAGCUUUUAAAGUUAACUUUUCAAUCAUGACCCUUGUAUCCAAAAAAUUAUAUUAUAGAACUAGGUUGAUACCCAAGUUUUACGUGGGGUAAGAUGCGCGCGGUGAGAUGGGUGUAAAAAUUACAUAUCCAAAGUAAGACUGUUCAAUACGAAUUUAGGUCCGUUUUCGGUUCAGUUUUUUGUAUUUCGGUUUAUAAAAGUUAGACACCAUAUUAAAAUCAUAUCUACUUUGCUUUGGUUCGGUUUUUCUACUGUCGAUUUUUGGUUUAUUUGAUUUUACACCAAAGAACUUAAAUUAUUUUUGCCUUUUACACCAUUUUUUCAAUUUAAUUUUUCAUGAUUAAAAUUUGAAUUUAUUAAACAGUACUCUGAUUUUUAAAUAUGAUGGUUUUUAUAUUUGAUUAAACUAUUAAAAUAAAAAUUGAAUAAAUUAUAAGUAUUAAAAAAACUACCAAAAUAACUAUUCCAAAAGAUUAAAAAAGGACAAAUACUCAUACUCGGUUUUGAUUUAAUAAAAAGUAUCAACCUUGAAAAUAAAAUACAAGUUAAUUUUCUAGAACAUAGUUUAUAUAGGAUUAAUAGUUAGGUUAACAUGAUACAUUCAUUAGCAUUAACUACUACGAAAGCCAAUUAUUAACAUCUUUCUUAAGUACGAAAAAGAAUUAGGCAAUUCAUUGCUUGGUGCCAAAAUAUUUUGUAGUCUUCAAUAUAAAUUACCAUAUUUACCUACUGAUGUAUUGUGUAGCAAGCAUAAUAUCUUGUAGAUAUAAUCGUUUGGUGAUUAUGCUUUGUGUGUUUAUUUAUUUUUGUAACAGCAGAACACAUAAAUUAUACUUACCUUUUUUUUGUGCACCAAUAAUUCAUUAAAGCAAGGAGAUGGUCUCAGGCCCAAGUGUUUAGCCUUAGGCCCAAGUAUUGUGUAGCAAGCAUAAUAUCUUGUAGAUAUAAUCGUUUGGUGAUUAUGUUUUGUGUGUUUAUUUAUUUUUGUAACAGCAGAACACAUAAAUUAUACUUACCUUUUUUGUGCACCAAUAAUUCAUUAAAGCAAGAAGAUGGCCUCAGGUCCAAGUGUUUAGCCUACGGAUGGGUCCACUAUAGAUGAAUUGCUCAAGGUGGCUUUUGCUAAGGCAUCAGCUUCACCGUUAAGCGAACGAGAAACAUAAGAAAAGGUGAUAUCUACGAAGGCAUAAGAGAUUUGUUGGAUAUCUUUAACACUACGAUAGAUCUCUGAGCUCUGCAUGUCGUUGUUGAUUGCUCUAACGAGCGUUGAGCUGUCAGAUAACAUUUGGAGGUCUGAGAUCCACAUAGCUACUGCAGUGAUGAUUCCCGAUCAGAGAGCUAGGGCUUCUGCGAUCAAUGGGCUGGUGACAUAAUCUUGAGUCAACGCUCCUCUGUGCUUGUACGAUCCUGUGGAAUCCGUGAAGAUCCAGGCGAGUCAUGCUUUCUUCAAUAGCUUAUUCCAAGAAGCAUCUGUUUUGCAUGUCAUUCUAGCGGUCUGGUCUGGUCGGAGUUGAGGCGCCUUGGCUGCUUCCUCUAGUGUGAAGCUUCGGUCUUCAAAGAUUAGCGUAUUGCGUGCUGUCCAAGGGGCCCAACAAACCCAAGCAAGGAUGUUUCCUGAUCUUCCUGAUGGAGGCAAACAGAAAACUUUCCUAAACUCCUUGAUUGCAUCCUUGAAAUUCUUGUAUGUGGCUAUAUGAACCACUCUGUGUGUUGGGAUUAGCUCUCAAACCUUUCGCGCAUAAGGGCAGACGAAAAAAAGUAUGCAUUGCAGUUUCUACAGCUUGACAUCUCUUGCAAAAAGCUUCUGAUUGAAUACCUCUACGUUGCAGAUUUGCUCCUAAUGGUAAAGCGUUCUGAGUAAUUGACCAGAGGAACUCUCAUAAGGUCGGUUCUGAGUGAUUGACCAGAGGAACUUGCAUAAAUUAUACUUACCUAAACUCUCAUAAUUCUGUAUGUGUGUAUUGCGGUACACUACAAGAAAACGUAGCAGUAACAAUGGCGUUUUACGAGGAAAUAAUUUCCUCGUAAAUUUACAUACGCUUUACAACGCAAUUACGACGAGACAUAACUUCGUCGUAAACUCCAUGGUAAUUUACGACGAACCGUUUUCGCCGUAAAGUCAAUGUAAGUUUACGACGAAAGUACGUGGAAUGCGAAAUAGUUGUAAACGUUACAUCGACAUUACGACGAAUCGUGUUACCGUUAUAUAAAGGUGAAAACGUGUAUUCAAUGUGCUUUAACUUACCUAAAUUCGUUGUAAACGCGUUGUAAAUUUUCUAUGUAAAAUCCAUGUAAAACUUACCAUGUUUCUCUAUAUAUAUGUCAUUUCCCACAACUCUCUUCCUCACAACACACAACUCUCUUCCUCACAACACACAACUCCUCAUUCAGCCACCAAUUACUAUUUCGAAGAUAACGAUAACGAACAUGAGUCAUUCGUCUGUCUGCCAAUUUAGUGGAGCGACAAGGAGAAAAUGGAGGGAAGUGCAGUUGGUUUAUACUUGAGUGGAACCUCCGAUCAUCGUCAAAGGUUCCUCUCAAGUACAAACCAGCUGCACUUCCGUCCACUUUCUCCUUGUCGUUCCACUGAAUUGGCAGACAGACGAACGACACAGGUUCCUUAUCGUUGUCUUAGAAAUAGUAAAUGGUGGGUUAACAACGCAAUUACGACGAAACCAACGAAACCAAAUUUCGUCGUAAACCCCAUGUAAUAUUACGACGUAAGUACGUCGAAAAGAAAACUUUACAUCAAUAUUACAACGAAUCAUGUUACCGUUAUAUUUAGGUGAAAAACUUAUCGAAGUUCGUUGUAAAGUCGUUGUAAAAAAACUAUGUAAAAUCCAUGUAAAAGUUUCCUUGUAAAAUCGUUGUUAUAUUUCAACUACCCAACUCGAAAAUUUCUCUAUAUAUAUGUCAUUUCCCACAACUCUCUUCCUCACAACACAUAACUCUCUUCCUCACAAGACCCAAACGGAAAAAAAAAAUUUAAAAAAAAAUAGAAGAAAAAAAUGGUCGGUGGCGGUAGUAUUUACGAGUUACGAAGUUGGAUGUAUUUGCACAAAGAUUCCGACGGGAGAGUGACGAAUGCAUUUCUGAACGGGCUAGAGACAUUCAUGCACCAGGCGGGCUGUACACCGAUCACGCAGGAAAGCGGUAAGAUGUUCUGCCCCUGUUCAAAAUGCAAGAAUUCAAAAUUUGCACGUAGUGAAACUGUAUGGAAUCAUUUAGUAAACAGAGGAUUUACACCACAAUACUACAUUUGGUAUCAACAUGGAGAGGGUUAUGGGGGAAAUGAAGCUAGUAGUAGUAAUGCUAAUUUUGAGGAUGCUCAUCAUAAUGAAGAACUGAAUCAUGUGCAUAAUGAACAUAAUUAUCAUCAAGAGGAGCAGAUGGUAGAUCAUGAUAGGGUUCAAGAUAUGAUUAGUGAUGCAUUUAUAGAAACAACUACAACAAUAG